rnacentral:rRNA from 1 species
UUACCUUCGGGUAUUGAGGAUGGCGGACGGGUGAGUAACGCGUAAGGAACUUGCCUCUUGGUCUGGGACAACUGUUGGAAACGACAGCUAAUACCGGAUAUUAUGAGAUUCUCGCAUGGGAAACUUAUGAAAGCUAUAUGCGCCAAGAGAGAGCCUUGCGUUCCAUUAGCUAGUUGGUGGGGUAACGGCCCACCAAGGCGACGAUGGAUAGCCGGCCUGAGAGGGUGAACGGCCACAAGGGGACUGAGACACGGCCCUUACUCCUACGGGAGGCAGCAGUGGGGAAUAUUGGACAAUGGGCCACAAGCCUGAUCCAGCAAUUCUGUGUGCACGAUGAAGGUCUUCGGAUUGUAAAGUGCUUUCAGUUGGGAAGAAGAAAGUGACGGUACCAACAGAAGAAGCGACGGCUAAAUACGUGCCAGCAGCCGCGGUAAUACGUAUGUCGCAAGCGUUAUCCGGAUUUAUUGGGCGUAAAGCGCGUCUAGGCGGAAAAAUAAGUCUGAUGUUAAAAUGCGGGGCUCAACUCCGUAUUGCGUUGGAAACUGUUUUUCUAGAGUACUGGAGAGGUGGGCGGAACUAC